GACGAACGCUGGCGGCGUGCUUAACACAUGCAAGUCGAACGGAAAGGCCCCCUUUUGGGGUACUCGAGUGGCGAACGGGUUAGUAACACGUGAGUAAUCUACCUUUGACUUUGGGAUAACUUCAGGAAACUGGGGCUAAUACCGGAUAGGAGCUCCUGCUGCAUGGUGGGGGUUGGAAAGCUUCGGCGGUUGGGGAUGGACUCGCGGCUUAUCAGCUUGUUGGUGGGGUAGUGGCUCACCAAGGCUUUGACGGGUAGCCGGCCUGAGAGGGUGACCGGCCACAUUGGGACUGAGAUACGGCCCAGACUCCUACGGGAGGCAGCAGUGGGGAAUAUUGCACAAUGGGCGGAAGCCUGAUGCAGCAACGCCGCGUGCGGGAUGACGGCCUUCGGGUUGUAAACCGCUUUCGCCUGUGACGAAGCGUGAGUGACGGUAAUGGGUAAAGAAGCACCGGCUAACUACGUG
rnacentral:rRNA from 1 species